GGCCUUGAGAACCACUGGACCAGAGUACAACCCUGUUUGUUCCAGGCCCUUGCGCUGAUCCAGUGCUGUUGCUGCAUCUUCUCUCCCAAACACAAAGCUGUGUAUAAACAUGAGAAACCAUAAACACCAAGUCUAAGCCUACAAGGAAGUUUUCCCAAUGGUGAUUUUUCCUAGCAGCCACAUUUCUCAGCAAUCAUCAGGACAAGUGUUUGUACUGAGGUCGCUGCUUGGAUGCAUUUACAACUCACUGCAACUCAGAAAAUGAAAGCAAAGUACAUUAGCCCAGGGCUGUUCAGCUUCUGGCCAUUUUCCUCUCCCAAAAGCAAUCAAGGUUUAAGUGCUGACAGGGCCUUUGCACACCUAAGUCCUCUGCCUGAACACAGUUAGCUCUGCAGGGGGAGUCAGAAGCCUCCUACCAGUAGCAGCAGCUGUUUGGAUAGGACACAUUCCCUGGGAGCAUGGCAGAGUGGAGCAUUCAGAGACUUGAACCCUCCCCAGAUGGCGCCCGUUGGGGCUGCCCAGGGAGAAGAGUAAAAGAAACUGCAUUCUGUUUGAGGCUGCAAUUCACAUCCUGUUAUUUCUUUUCCCAGCAGGGUCGGCUGGGACUGAGAAGGGCUUUCCUGUUUACGUGUGGCUGGUCCAGAAGUCUGCAUCAAUGCUCAUUUUGUUCAGGAUCAUCAUCUGCUAACCACCACCUGGGCUGCGUAGUGAAAGGAAGGAAGCUGAAUUAGCUGAGGAUUCUGAAUCACGAAGGUGAAUCUGGGGAACUCCCCCACCUUUGAAAAAUGCUGUUCACUGCAUCCGGGUGAAUGAACCACUUGUGAUUAUGGAAGGCUCUGCUGAGAUAGUUUGCCAGCUUGUUCUGAGAAACCAGGAGGUAGGAUGCUUCCAGGUGAGUUGAGUGGGCAAUGCAGCUUGAGGGCUUCCUGACAUAGGGGAGAGGAGAGAACUCUGCACUGCUUGUUUAUAUAAAACAUUGCGGUCGUGUUGUCUGUCAUCACCGCUGCACAUUUCCCUUGCAAAUGGGCCUGGAAGGUCUGGCUUGCCAGGCAGACAGCUCUCAGCUCUUUGACGUUGAUGUUAAGUGAGAGCUCCUCUUGCAACCAAAGACCUUGGGUCCUGAAUUCUCCCAGAUGAGCUCCCCAUCCCAAAUCCUGACACAUCUUGACCAGGGCCAACGAGGUCUGCGGUUUGGUGAAGGGGACCCUCGGACAUACCACCUGUGGUCUGAGCCACCAUUGGAGAGACCCGAGAACUGGCAGUGGGAGCGUAACCACCUUUUCCAGGUUGUCACGCCCUGGCUGGUAAGUUGACACCAGCCAGGCCUAGAGAGUGUUGCAUGACAUAUGUACAAGCUGCCAUAUGUCUGAGGAGCUUCAAGCAAUUCCUCGCUGUGGUGGUGGGGUAUUGCUUGAAGCCUUGUAUGAUGUCUCACAUUGUCCAAAAAUGAGACUCUGGAAGGAAGGCUCUGGCCUGACCCGAGUCCAACACUGCCCCAAUGAACUCUAUUCUCUGAGCAGGGGAUAGAGUUGAUUUGUGUAUAUUCAGGAGACCCAGCCUGUUGAAGGUGGAUCUCAUCAAGUUGACGUGUUGCUCCACUUGUGCCCUGGAACGGCCCCUGAUCAGCCAGUGGUCGAGGUACAGGAAGACCUGCACCUGCCUUCUUCUCAGGAAGGCGGCUAUGACUGCCAUGCACUUGAUAAAAACUUGAGGGGCUGCUGAUAGGCCAAAGUGGAGGACGGUAAACUGAUAAUGGUUGUGGUUCACUAUGAAGCUGAGAAAGCAUCUGUGGGCUGGAACUAUCGGUAUGUGGAAAUACAAGUCCUUGAGUUUGAGGGCAAUGUAUCAGUCUCCUGGAUCCAGAGAUGGGAUGAUGGCAAAGAGACCAUAGAGAACGUCAACUUCUUCAGGAAUCUGUUGAGGCCUUGCAGGUCGAGGAUGGGUCUGACACCCCCCCUUUGGCUUUGGGGGAUUAGGAAAUAUUGGAAGUAGAAUCCUGGUCUCUUAGCUCCUGAGGAACCUCCUCCAUUGCUCCUGCGGCGAGGAGUGUUUGAACCUCCUGCAGGAAGAGUUGCUCAUGAGACGGGUCCCUGAAGAGUGACAGGAAAGGGGGGGUGGGAGGAGAAGAAUUGGAGAGAAUAUCCCACUUCUGCAGGGUGAAGGAACCAGCAAUCUGAGGUUAUCUGGGACCAAGCACAGUAGAAGUGGGACAAGAUUCAGAAAUCAGGGCGAAAGAUCCAUCGAGAGGACUGGUACAUCGUCCCCGGGCGCACCUUCAAAAGGCUUGCUUAGAGCCCGAUGACUGCCUCGCCAAGCCCUGGCCUUGACUGGGUGGUGGAUGGGGAGACUUAUGCUGGCCAUUCCUGUCCCACUUCCUGGAGAAGUCCUGCUUAGGCUGGGGAGGGUAGAAGCGCGGAGGGGGUGGGGCUUAAAGUGUUUCUGCUGGGUAGUGGAGGUAUGCAGGCACAACGAUUUCAAUGCUGCCCACGAAACCUUUAGACUAUGGAGCUUGGAGUCUGUCUGCUCUUAGAACAGCCCCAUGCUGUUAAAGGACAAGUCCUGAAUUGGUAGUUGGACCUCUGGAGCCAUGAGCUCGUUCUCACGAGCAGAGGACAUGGUUUGUGUAGCCACGUCCAGUGAGGCCUGCAAAGGAGGUCCAUGCCACUGCCUUGCCCUCCUCUAUUAUGGCUGCAAAUUCCACUCUGGAGUCUGACUGGACCAACUCCUUAAAUUUCAUCAUGGAGUCCCAUAAAUUGAAAUUGUAAGUACUGAAGAUUGCUUGCUGGUUAACAAUCCGAAGCAGGACACCACCUCCCCCACCGGUGGAGUACGCUUUCCUGCUGAAGAGGUAUCAGCUUCUUUUAGUCCUUGGAUUUUGGAGUUGGCCCCUGCUGCCCCAUUUCUCUCUUUCAUUUGCUGCCACUACGAGCAGUGAACUCAGCUGCGUAUGAGUAAAUAACUAUUUGUACCCCUUAGAGGCGAUGAAAUAGUUCCUCUCCGCCCCCUUUGCUGUAGGGGGGAAUGGAGGCAGGAAUCUGCCACAAGGUUUUCGUAGUGGCUUGAAACGUUUUAAUGAGUGGCAAUGCCACCCUGGAUGGCCACUCAGGAGUUAAUAUAUCCACCAUGGACCUUGAGUGUGGAGACCACGGUUGUGCUGAGCGGGAUGGUGUCGGAUAACAGUGCCUCAUCACUGCGGGUUUGCCUCUAGACUGCACCACACCUUGCUGUGCUGGAGGUGUGUCUCGGCUGGCGGGGUCACCCAUUGGCAUGGGCUCAUGGCAGGUCCUGCACAGCUUAAACCCUUGGGAUCGAGGCAUGCCCUGAACCCCAAGAGGGGAGGGAAUUGGGAUAGAAAGCCCCCCAUUUCUAUCCAACUAACUUACUAAGACUAACACUAACUAAUGAACUAUUUACAGGAUAAUCAAAAGUCCAAUCACUAGGGGAAAUGCUUGCCAAGGUAAGAAACAGACACAGCUCCAACGACCAUCACUGGUGGUAAGAAGAAACUGAAGAGGCGGCGGGUCGGCAGGAAUCUAUGUACACUGCCAUGAAGGCGCAACUCCAGGGGGCUCCACAGCUGACCUGACAGGUACCA